ACGUGUAGUAGUAAGAAUAGCUUUCUCAAAUACUCAGCAUGUACGUCAUUGAAAUCUAGCAAGGCAUAUCAAGUAUAUCUAAAUAUUUUAACUAAUAUGACAAAUCUACGUUGUGUAGGGUACACCCAGUACAACAACGUUUACAAGCUCUACGAUGUAGUGGGACUCGCCCAACACUCUCAUCGUCUUUGUCGUAGUGGGCACUACAAGAAAAUGGAGCAUUCCCGACGCCGAAAAUCACGUCGGCAUAAAGAACGUUGGGAAUAAGGGCUUUCCCGACGCCCUCAACAACGCGUCGGGAGCUGCGUCGGGAAAACCAUCUUUCCCGACGCACCACGAAGGCAUCGACAAGAAUACGUCGGGAAAAACCCCUUUUCCCGACGCCGUGAACAGUGCGUCGGGAGAGGCGUCGGGAAUAGGGUUUUUCCCGACGCUGCGUGAAACGUCGGGAAAAGGGGUUUAAUAAGCGUCGGGAAUUCCUCUUUUCCCGAUGCAUUUUGAGGGAUUUCCCGACGCCACGUCACUGCGUCGGGAAAUCCCCUUUAAAUUCGUUUCAGUUCUGUAUUCACAGAACCGAAACCGAGAGGAGGAGAAAAAGAAAGGAGAAGAAGAAGAAGUCGCCGCCGUGCAUAAUCCUUUUGUUCCGCCGCCGUCCGUCGUCGACCGCCCUCGCCGUUGUUCCUCGUCGCCGUCUGCCACUUUAGAAAUAGGAAAGGAAGAUGAAGUAUCGAGAAAUAUUGGUUCUGGUUCUAUGUUUGCUUGGGUUUGUUCUUGGAGCGUAUGGAUUGUUGGAAAGGCAGUGAAUAAUUUCUUAAAGAAAAUGGGAAUAUCAUUACAUUUUCACCCAUAGGUAAAGUGUUUGGCUCUAAUGAAAGUGGAAUUCAAUUGGGUAAAGUUAAAAGUGUUUGAUAGAGGGUGUUUGAUACAGUAGUCGGGGAAAUUGCAAUUAUUACGAAUUGAACCAAGUUCCACAACAGGGCUGAUCAUAGUUGCGCCAGUUGAAGAUUCAAAAUCCACGUGUUGGGUGUUCUUGAUAUUGCUUGUAGAAUGAUUGAAGUCAUAUCAAACUGAAAGCUAAGCGAUUGUGUAGAAAGUCAGACGAUCGUUGAAGGUUUGAGAAGGCUUUAAGAUUUCUUAUUUAAGUUUUGUAUUAGGAUCUUGUUUCAUGUACCGUUGUAGAAUAUAUAAACAUAAUAUAAGAUUCCAUUUUGUGUAUACAAAUGUAAAAGACAAAUAUUAUAGUUUCUAAAAUAAUAUUAAUUUUAUUGA